AUGAACAUUGCUCUCUUGACUCAUUGGCUCUGGCGAAUCGCCAAUGGGGAGGGCGGCCUCUGGCUUACUAUCAUCAGAAACAAGUACCUUCGGGGACAACCCCUAGCUUUUUGUCAACGCUCUGGUGGCUCCCAGUUCUGGCAGGCUGUGAUUCAGCUUUUACCCGUGAUCCACAUAGGCACGUCCAUCUCGGUUGGCUCCGGGUCCUCAACCCUGUUCUGGUUCGACCGCUGGCUAGGGUCCCCCCUGGCCGCUUGCUUCCCAGACCUAUUCGCCAUAGCAGUUGACCCUCGGGUUUCCGUCGUGACGGCCCUUAUUGACUUAAGGUGUCUUGCCUUCCAGCGCCCCUUUGGCCCUCUUGAGGUGGCCGCUUGGGACUCCCUCCUCCAGGAUACCGCUCUUCUUCUGAUGGACAUCGAGGGCGCCCUUGACUCCAUUUCUUGGCGCCUGGAGCCAUCUGGCCGCUUCUCCACUAUGUCUUUAUACGCGGCCAUCGCUCCUUCGUAGGCCCCUGAGCACUUUAGCCUGAUCUGGGAGAUUCGUCUUCCCCUAAAGAUCAGGAUCUUCCUGUGGCAGUGGAUCCGGGGACGCCUUCCCUCUAGGGUAGAGGUCCUCAAGCGUAAUGGACCAGGAGAUGGGAUGUGUCCCUUGUGCGGCACGGUGGAGGAUACUAACCACAUCUUCUUCUCCUGCUCCACUGCCCAAUUCCUGUGGUCCUUCUUCCGCGAGACAGUCGGUGGGCAGUGGUGCAACACCAAGUUCCCCGACUUACUUGCGGAGAUCCACGCCUCCCCCCCCCCCCGGCGCUACCGCCAUAUUAGAUGGAUGUGUAUGGGGAUGAAAACGGAGCGAAAACGGACGGAACUAAGUGCUACCAUAUUUGUUUUCAUAUAUUUUUGCAGAAGUGGAAACGAAUACAGAAACCCCGAAAAUGAAUACAGAAACAGAUACUACCGGAAACGGACACGGAGCGAAUACAAAGCAGACACGAAAACAGAAGUGGGAAUUGACCGUAACUUAAAAACCCUUGAAUCAAAGAGAAAUGCAUGCAAAACACAAACAAAUUUAAUGAAUUGUUAA
rnacentral:rRNA from 1 species